rnacentral:misc_RNA from 1 species
UAUUAUUAUUAUUAUUAUUAUUACUAUUAUUAUUAUUUCAAUUUUUUUUUAUAUCAACACUUUAAUUAUUGAAUUUGUUGGGUCCUUUUUGGAUGAACAUGAUUUGAGCAUUGUGCAUUUAAUCUUUGAAUAUUGAGAGCGAGUUGGUCCUGUAGAAGUAUUAAAGAACCUAACCAAAGCUGUCUGCUGGUUCUGAACCAAAGGUGGGCCAUUAUGGGCCGGGGCAGCCUUGUGAUUGGUGAUUACUUGAUGUUUCUUUAGUGGGCUCGCACAAAUUUCUAGUUGAAGUUUCAAUUAUGCAGCUCCUUCCUAACCAAUUCGGCCACAUCAUCUUUUUUAUCUUUUAUGAAAUAGGCCUUCUCACAUUCCUUAGGCUUGCAAGUUCAAAUGCAAUGCACAACACAGUAGUAUCAAUUUAUUCAAUGAAGAAAGAUUAUGAGCCAAUCAAGUAAAUGGGCAACUUCAGAAAAGACAUACAAAUAUGGGCAACUUGGGGGAGAAAAUCCAGCUAUCAUCAAAUGGAAUUGAAAUUUUCUGUGUGGAAUAAUGACUUACAGAUGAAUCAGUCAAGCACGUAGAUUCGAGAGGCGAUGUCCUGAACCAACCAAUCAAAUCCCUCGAGCAGCCCCUCCCCUGUGUAUGCACUACAGCCCAUGAUUUUCCAAUGUCGCGUUUUGUCCAUAUUCUCCAGAUUUAAUACCUUAGCAAUUUCCUCUUGAGUAAGAGCACCUUUUAGGUCUUGCUUAUUUGCUAGUAUUAGCAAGGAUGCUCCAGACAGCCUCUCUUCCUUCAAAAGAUUAUCAAGUUCCAUUUUGCAAUCAUCCAACCUUCGAAGAUCCAAACUGUCAACUACCCAAACUAAGCCGUCAGUUUGCUCAAAGUAGUUCCUCCAAUAAGAUCUUAUAGUUCUUUGGCCCCCAACAUCCCAUAUAUUUAAGGUAUACUUUUGGUAAGUGGUGGUUUUGAUAUUAAAACCAAGUGUAGGACUGAUAACACUAGUAUCUUCCCCGUUUAUCUUCAAAACAAUUGUUGUCUUUCCAGAAUUAUCAAGGCCCACCAUCAAUAUACGCAUUUCCUUCUCUUUUCGCUUGAUUUUUCGGAUGAUGCUGAGGAGCCCCAUUAUUAGGCAAAAACAAGCUAAUCAACGAGCAAGAAAUGAGGGUUUCUUCUGAUUCUUAAUAAUUUGUCCUUGCGUAAUGAUUUAGCACAAACAACUAAACCUACCAGCAAAAGCAAUACUGUUUCAAAAAACAAUGCCAUUAUCGCUUACAAAUUCAGCCACUUAUCAGAAUAAGCUAUUGAAAGCAACAAAUUUCACCAUGACCUAUGCAGAAAUAAAUUGAACUCAUAUGAUUAUUUUGAAUGUGAUUUCGCUUAAUUGCAAGUGCGUGGAAGGUCUCCUUCCACCUGAAAGUCCCGAUUCUCUAUAUUGAUAACCAAAAAUGGUUUGCAAGACUCCUGAUUGCAUCAAAUUAUAUAGACAUUUAAGGUUAACAUGCAUUGCAUUUUGUUAGCAUUUAGUAUCAUUUUAUUUAUAUUUUUAUAUGUUUUCAUUCUUAUUUUAGAAAACAUGUUAAUUCAACUCAAUUCAUUGAUUUUUAUAAUUUAUCAGGUGUUUUUAUGUUAUUCUAGAAUCAAAGACGAGUUUAGAAGAGAUUUUAGAGGUCAAAACGUGAAUAAUACAAUGCCAAAAAUAUUACACGGGCCGUGUAACUUGUCCCGUGUAACUUCCUGGACCCUGUGCAACCUUCUGGACAAAGAAAACUUGAAAAACAAGAGUGGCAGAAAGUUACACGGGGCAGGGGCUUGUAACACUACACGGGCCAUGUAAAUUCCCUUGACAGCAAUUCUGAUGCGACUUUUCUUCACUCCAACUCGACCCGGAUGGACUCCUAAUGCUUCUAGGACUAUGAAAUUAGGGUUUUUACACUAGAUAUAAAUAAAACAAGUCAGGAAUUGAGGGAGUGGAGAGAAUUUACAUCCAAAGAGGAGAAUUAACAUUCAAGAGCCGAUUUACAUUCAAGGAGGCACAUCAACCUCAAGGGAGGCAAGGGAGAAACAAGAUCUGCAAGAUUGCUAGAAGGGAUUUUCAGCUGAAGUUCCAAAAGUCCAAGGCUGCAAUUCUCUUUCUGAGUUCUUUCACUCUAUUUUCUUCUCAUGUCUUCUCUUUAUCUUUUUAUAAACUUGAUUGUAAAGCUCACC